rnacentral:piRNA from 1 species
CAAGGAUGGCAUAACAAACUGGG